AUUCAAGAUGGCGGCCGAAAAGGUCUCAAAAAAUAUAGAAGGAGUUUGGUCCUUUCUGAAGGAUUCUUUUGGCGAUAUAUUUGAAAACGCUACCCAGUUGUGGAGCAUAAGCGAUUGGCAAGUCCGUGUCUGCUUUAUACUUGCAGUAAUGCUGUUAUUAAAUGUAAUUUUAAUCGGAAUUGCCUGGCAUAUUUACGGUGGAGUGAUAUCACAAAUGUACAGUACAAAAGCGAAACGGAAAAGCUCCAGUUCGCUACGAACAGUGAGUGAAGAAAGUGGAGAGGACUUGAGGAAAAAAACUGAUUGAGACAACUAUCUGAUAUCAACAAAUAUCUUAGCAGACCAUAAAAUCGAGGUUCAGGUUACUGUAUUAACUGGGUUAAAAGAAAGAGCUUUGUCCAAAUAAGAAUGACAAACCGACAUCGAAAUACCUCAAAGGUGAACCAGAGGUUGCAGGAACUUUCAAGACGAAAAUACCUAGCACAGGUUUAAAGACAGGAACUUAAGAUUAAACAUAGAGCUGUAAAUAAAUUAUUAAAAAU